rnacentral:rRNA from 1 species
GUCCAUGGCCGUGCUACCCUGAACAAGCCUGAUCUCAUCUGAUCUCAGAAGCUAAGCAGGGUCGGGCUUGGUUAGUACUUGGAGGAGAGACCACCUAGGAAGACCAGGUUCUAUAGGCA